rnacentral:lncRNA from 1 species
GCCCCUACUGAGCCUCCAGCAGUUUGUCAAAAUUACUAGUGAAGUAAAUGGCCCUAUCACUUGAGGCAUCCAGAAGCUUCUGCUGAAGGUUUAAUUUAUUUAUUCAUGAAAGACACAGAUAGACAAAGAGACAUAGGCAGAGGAAGAAGCAGGCUCCCUGCAGGGAGCCUGAUGUGGGACUCAAUCUCAGGACCCCAGGAUCACAACCUGAGCCAAAGGCAGAUGCUCAACCACUGAGCCACCCAGAGGAAGCACUUCUUCACUUUAAACCGACCACUUACAAAAGUAGCAGGUGAAGGUUUCUCUGUGGACUGGGGUAAGUCGGUAAUUAAAUUUUCUUGAAUCAGUAGAGAAAUUAUAAAAAAUAAAAUCAAUGUUGUGAGUUUUUCAUAAAGGUAAACUCAUUCUAUUAAAGAACUUGCCUUUUUUAUUCUAAGAUUAUGUCCUAUUUAGUUAUGUGGUUUUAAAUUUCCCUACUAUUAGAUGAUGGUGAUAAUAGGACGUAGUUAGGUUUUUGUUUUUAAAAUAUACUUAUUUGGCAAAAGAAGAGUUGUUACCAUAUGUUGGUCAUCUUUAAGAAAAAAACAAAAUCCACUGGUAUAUAUAUAUAUAUAUAUAUAUAUAUAUAUAUAUAUAUUACACAUAUCCACCACAGCUUUUAAACAGCUGUGGUGCCUGUGAAACUUUUGAAAUAAAUUUACAAUUAUUAUUAAAUAACUGUUGCUCUAUAUGCUCCCUUCUACCCACUUUGGCCAUUCAAUCUCCUUUCUUGGGACCCCAGACUUUCUCACAAGUAAUUAUCUAAAGGUUAAUGCCUGUCACAGUUGGGGUCAUCAGUAUACUAUUUGUUCAUAAUUUACCAGUUGUUAAAUAUUUAAGCAGAACCCAUGGUAAAAUCCAAAUGCCUACGAACGAUUGGUAUAAGAGGAGUAUUUCUAUCUGAUUCCUUUAAGAAAAACAAAAAAGCCAUGGAAUCCCUUAAAAACUGUGUUUGAGACAAUCUGGCAACUCCUAGUUUGAUAAAUGUAAGGAUAGAGUUGUUUUUCUUCCUUCAUAGAGAGUGCAAUAUAAAAAUCUCCAUAAUUAGAAACACAGUGCUUUAUGCUUCCUAGGCAUCAAUAGUUACAGGAUGAGAAAGAGUGGAUAGAUCUUAGAAGCUUUGCAGGAGAGAUGGAGAGAGAGAUGUAUCCCUUGCAUCUCUUUUCUCUUUCUUCUCAAAAUUCUUCCUUCAAGUAAGGGGAAUAGGAUCUAUGAAACUAGGAAAAACAAAAUAGUGACUAAAAAAACCAAAAUGCAGCUUUGACAAACCACAAGCUUUAAAGCAAAAGGAUGAGGACAAUAUCUGAAAAGACUUUAAACAUUAAGCAAAGUAAGGGAAAUUUAAAAUCUUGUUUUGAAUGUAUUAGAUCACAUUAAACAAAUUAUUUUUAAAAACCCUCUCUUUCUUUGUUCUUAAACACUUGUCUUUUAAGCGACAGAUAGGAGGACCAGAAUAAGUGGUUAACUUGGAUUGACCUUCUGAACAGCUGCCCCAUUAAACUUCAGAGACAGCACAUCCCCAUUGCUGCAAUCAAGUGACUACAGCUGGUACUGUCCUUACAAAUUUAAGCUGCAGAAGCACUUUAAAGAGGCGAAUAACCCUCUUUGGGGUCUGAAUCGCCAAAAUGUGUGAUGCUUUUACAUGAAUAAUAUUGUCAUUUGAAAUAUAAACUUUAUUUCUUUGCACUUUGAAACAAAGUGAAGCUAGUUAUCUUGAUUUUGCUUCUCUUAUUUCUUGAAACUCUGCCAAUAUAUCAGCAAAAGAAAAGAGAUGCAUUGACAGUUCUGUAUUAUAAAAUGCAUAAGUAAAACAUUUUGAUGCCACAGAAGUUUAAAUUAUUGACAAUAUGAUUAUAUGAUUAUGGUUUAAGGUUUUUAUAUUAAUUAUAUUCAGAGAGAGGUCUGGGAUAGGGAGGGUUAAUGGGCACCCUGAAACAAGCAGAGAAAAUGCCACUGCAGGUGUUUGCUUUAAUGGGGUGUUGAUGGAACACCAAGGGCAGGUAAGUAGGAAAAUGAAUGAGAGACAGAAAGUGUUGAAGUGUUAGUGUAAAACACAGGUCUGUGACAAUGUGAAGCUUUAAUGCCUAAAAUUAUUUUGGCUUUUCUUGCUUUAGAAUGCUGUUUCACUAACUUUUGUACAAGCUCAAUUACCUUCUUGUAAGGACAGGGCAGUUAGAGUGGAAAUUUCAGAAAAAGGGUUAUUUAAUCACACAUAGGAAGCAACACCUUCCUUAUAUUCAUUUUCACAAAUUUGGCAGGUAAAAUGAGUUAUUUCUCUAGGUUUUCUAUGUCUGCUUUUUAAACUUCAUAUAUUAGAACAUUUAUAACAUAUGCAUAUAUAAUAGUACAGAGACUACUAUAAUAAUGAACUCCUAUUUAUCCAGCUUCAAAAAUUAUCAUCUCCCCCAACUUUUUGGCUCCUCUUCUCCACCCCCAGAUCAUUUGCAGCAAAUCUCAGACAUUAUAUCAUGUUGGUUGUUAAUAUUUCAAUAUACAUUUUGAGAUAAUACUCUUUUGAAAUAUAUCUACAACCCCAUUGACAUACAAAAAAGUGCUAUGUCAUAUCAUAAAUAAAUAAUUUCUUAAUAUAAUAACAUAUCCAGUAACUGUUUAAUAACAUAUCCAGUAACUGUUUAAUAGUUAUCUAAUUUUUAAAAAAUGAUUUGUAUGAUUGAAAUAAUGGACUCUCCAAAACAUCCAUACACUGUAAUUGGUUAAUGUGUCUCUCUGGUCUCAAUCUAUAGGAUUCCUUUUUCUAAUUAAUUUUUUUCUUGUCUCUUUUUUCUUUUUUGGUGGUGGUUUUAGCAACUGAGCUGUUUGUAUAUAGGGUAGAUCUUGUUGAUUACAUCAUUGAGGUGUUGUUUACAUGUUGCUGUGAUCCCUUUAUCUUCUGUAAAUUGUUGGUUAAGUUUGAUAUUUUUAGUAAGACUUCAUAGAUGUUGUCUACUUUCCUAAGAAUUACAAAAUGUGUCUACUUGUUUCUUGUUUGUAUGUGCCAUAUAACAGUCACUGAAGGCCUUUACCUAAAUUUCUAGUGUUUUCAUUCCUUUUUAUCAUCAAAUAUUUGUCUACCCUGAAAUAUAGUUCAUUAAGUCAAGGAAGAAAAAUUGCUUGACUUCAUCUCUCUAGUUACCAGUUUUCCAAAUAACAAAUUGGUUCCAUAGCAUCCUCUAAGGAAGAAAAGUGAUAUUUUAUGUAGAACUCUGACUUAUACAAUUGUUCAACAAAAUUUGUAUUAAUUCAGUGGAGUUUUUCUGAGUGUCUUCUCUGUUUAAGGCAUUUCUUUAGAUGCUGAAUAUACAACAGAGAAGAAAAUAGGCAAAAAAAAAAUUAUUGACCUCAUGAAUUUUAAAUUUUACCGUUUUCACCAAACAGUUCCUUCCUUAAUGCUUUGAUUCAUAACUUUUAAAAUUAUUUUUGCUAGUUUUGUUCAGUGUUUUGGCAGACUUUGUUUGGCCUAAGUGGGCCAAAGUUCAAGGCUUUUUAAAUAACGCAAGUUGUAAAACACCACUAGAAAAGAGUGGACUUGUGGUUACAAAAUUUUAGGGCAAAAUAUCCUUUACCUCCUCUUGGCUCCAUGCUUGUAUCCUAUCCUUUUGUGGAGAUGGGUUUAUUCCUAGCUUAGCCUGUUCCUAAUUUUUAUAACUAUUUCCCUACUAUUCUGUGUGUAUUUGUGUGAUAUCCUGUUAGAUUUCCAAUCUUGGCUAGGCUCUACCUGUUUUCUAUUGUCCAAAAGUUCUAGUGGGGUUUGACAAUAAGAUCUAAGUAUUAGACCCCAGUGAAUCAGUAUGUCCAUCCCUUCAGGUGCUUAUAUUCUACAUAGGAAACCAUUACAUCAGAGAAUUCAGAGUCAGUAACAAAUUUUAAAUAAGUAAAUCUCUUGAUUCUACUUGUCUAAAUAAAUUAUAAUAUAAAUCUUUCAGAGCUAUACAAUUAAAUGGCAUGAAGUAAACCACACAGGUAAGCAUCUUAUAUCCCCAGUGGCUCAUCAUCAAAGACCAUUUAGAUGUGCACAUUUUGCUUUACAAAAUGGAACUUCAAAAACAAUUUUUAAGAAAAGGAAAUGCCAUGAUUUCAAUGAGGUCAUUCUGGGUGUGGCAAAGAGGAGGUUGGAUUAGAGCAGCAGCUUUCAGCCUUAGUUGACCAUUAGGAAUAUAUUGAUAGCUUUAAUACAGUUUUGAUAGCUCAGAUAUUUAACUUAAUUGAUCUGGAUUGGGGUCUGGGCAUCAGAAUUGUUUUCUAAAACAAUUACCCCUAGGUAAUGCUGUUUUCAAGCCAGUGUCAGUGUUCAGAAAUAUAGAGCUAAAGCAAUUGAAAUGGAGAGGAUUUAAACUUAAGAGAUAAUUAUAAGAUAGAAUUGUGUGACCUAAUACAUUUGAGAAUCAUCAGCAUACAGGUGAUUGUUGAAGUCAUGGUAUUGAUCCCUUGAGGAGACAAAGCAGAGAAUAAAGGAAGUAGACUAAUGAUAGAGUUUCAGUACUAACAAUACUUAAGAAGAGAAUCUAGUGUGGGAGACUAAGAAAAAAAGUCAGAGAGGUUAGAAAAAAUGGAAUGAGUAUUGUCAAGAAAAUCAAGAGAAGAGAUAUAUUUAAAAUGGAAGACUUAUCAGUAGUGACAAAAGAUACAGAGUUCAGUGAGCUAAAAACCAAAGAAAAGGCCACUUAUCCAAUUAGGUGGUGAAUACUGACCUUAAAGAAAGCCCUCUCAGGAGGUUGGCAUGAUUGGAAGUCAGAUUGAAAAGGUUUGACAUGUGACUGAUAAGUGAAAACUUGUGGGCAGUACAUGCACAUUACCUUUUCAAGAUAUUCAGCAAUAUGGAAAAAAGAUACUGUAUAGAAUAAGCAUUUUGAUCCUUGGAUCAGCAGAACACUGGAAAAAGUGAGAUUUGGGACAGCAGGGAAUGUGUAAGACCAGUUCCUUUCCCAUGAGAAAUUUCUACUCUAAAGGAAAGUAAAUGAAUCACCAUUAUUAUUUACCUCAAUAAUACUUACAAGUAAAUAUUAAAUGGAAAUGAGACUUUGUUUGUGAAAAUUAGCACUUUGAAAACUGGGUGAUGAUUUAGUGUUAUUUUGUAAAAUUAGAAAGGUUGACUAAAGCAAAGCGACACCCUAGGAAUCAUAUUUAGGACUUAAAAAACAAUAUGGAGAGCAUCAUGCUAUUGGAAAAUGGGGAACAAAAUAUGUUCCAGAACAGGAAAGAAAUGAACUUGGAGAUGGAUCAAACAUGAUGAUAAGUUACUAACAUAGUAAUGAUAUCAUACAAAUACAAUUCAUAUUUAAUGAGCAGGGAGGGAAAUCCAUAUUCCUUUUUGUAUUUAAUUCUUCUCAGGCAGGAAUACUGUAUUCAUAUUGAGACCCACAAAUUGAAAGUACUGCAGAGAAGCUGAAGAGUCCCACAAGGAAUUAAUUAUAGGCCAGGGGGAAUUGUUCAUAUAUGGAAUAUUGAAAGAGAAUGGAUAUAUUUAACAUUAAAAAAAGAGCUCUGAGGAGUGACUUCAACAUUUAGAUAAAAUUCCACAAUUAAAUUAAAUGCAGUAGUGAAAAAAAAAAA